GACGAACGCUGGCGGCGUGCUUAACACAUGCAAGUCGAACGGAAAGGCCCUGCUUUUGUGGGGUGCUCGAGUGGCGAACGGGUGAGUAACACGUGAGUAACCUGCCCUUGACUUUGGGAUAACUUCAGGAAACUGGGGCUAAUACCGGAUAGGAGCUCCUGCUGCAUGGUGGGGGUUGGAAAGUUUCGGCGGUUGGGGAUGGACUCGCGGCUUAUCAGCUUGUUGGUGGGGUAGUGGUUUACCAAGGGUUUGACGGGUAGCCGGCACGGGAGGGGGACCGGCCACAUGGGGACUGAGAUACGGCCCAGACGCCUACGGGAGGCAGCAGGGGGGAAUAUUGUACAAUGGGCGGAAGCCUGAUGCAGCAACGCCGCGUGCGGGAUGACGGCCUUCGGGUUGUAAACCGCUUUCGCCUGUGACGAAGCGUGAGUGACGGUAAUGGGUAAAGAAGCACCGGCUAACUACGUG
rnacentral:rRNA from 1 species